AGCAGCCGCGGUAAUUCCAGCUCCAAUAGCGUAUAUUAAAGUUGUUGCAGUUAAAAAGCUCGUAGUUGAAUUUCGGAAUCAAUAUAUCGGUCGUGCCUCUGGUACGCACUUAUUUAUUGAUUUCUCACUUCUGACGAAUCAUAAUGUCAUUAGUUUGGUGUUAUGAGGAAUCAGGACUGUUACUUUGAAAAAUUAGAGUGUUUAAAGUAGGCUCGCGCUUGAAUACAUUAGCAUGGAAUAAUGAAAUAGGAUGUUUGAUCUUAUUUUGUUGGUUUCUAGGAUCGACAUAAUGAUUAAUAGGGAUAGUUGGGGGCAUUAGUAUUCAAUUGUCAGAGGUGAAAUUCUUGGAUUUAUUGAAGACUAACUACUGCGAAAGCAUUUGCCAAGGAUGUUUUCAUUAAUCAAGAACGAAAGUUAGGGGAUCGAAGACGAUCAGAUACCGUCGUAGUC
rnacentral:rRNA from 1 species